GGAACAAGAGGCUUCUCUGUGAUCCAGGAGUAAACUUUCUGUAAAAAAGAAACCCAUCUCGCGGUCCUUCCUUGAAUGAACUUGGCUUCAUCUCCAUCACCUUCCGGUUGGGGCUGAAUCUAACUUGAGGUUCUCUUCUCCUGGCCUUGCUGGCAAUGGCACUUGAGACGAUCCUGGGGGGAGAUAUCUUCCCCACCCAGGUUUUAAGAGCGUGUUUGCAAUUUGGCUGGCGGCGUCCCUUCCUUUUAACUAUCCUGCUUUGGGAGGGCUUUGCUAUAGAUUCGAAAUGGAGUGGGGUGUUAAGAAAUCCUCACCGUUCCUUUGAACAAGGAAAAGUCCUUGUGUAGGAUAGGAUGUCGCUCCCUCGAGCAAUAAAUAAAUCCCUACAUCGGAUUUCUUAUUGGGAACUUUGCUUAUCUUUUGGAAGUCAACUCCAGGCUUCUGUCAGCCAGGCUGAAGUUCCUUCUAACGCCACGUCUCAUCCGGAGACCCAUCUUUCCUCUCUCCUCUACAAAUUUAUUCUAUUUCGAUGCUCGUGCCCUGUGUUGACUGAGCACCUGCUUCAUAGUCCUCUUUUAAGCAGGUAAAGAUUUCCCACAGGGCGUGCCUCUGAAUUGUUCAGCCGGGUUGCAAUUUGGGUAGACUGUGCCAAACGUCAUAUAAAGACUCCCUUCAGUCGAUAAACUUCCGGUGAUCGCCAGAAAUUGUCCAUGUUCUUUUCUUGGCAACAAUAUACAACAGAGAGCUUUUUCUUCCUUUUCCCAUUGUCGCUUCCACCGCUGGGUAAAUUUCCUGGUGGCCUCCCAUCCAACUAUUAAUCAAGUCUGACCCCACUUAGCUUUUACAUCAGCCAAACCUUAGCUCGGUGCCGCCACCUGUUGCGGCUAUGAAUGUAAUAUGGGACACUCUGCAUCCUUCUUUUCAUGUUUAUUUUUAAAGAACAGAUGCACACUCUUCUUUUGAAUGCUGAACAGCAGCUUCACAGUUACGUGGUAGCAACGUUCAAAGUUUUAUGACGGAUCAGCCGUUUUGGAUGACUUCUAAACUCUUAAGAAAAAGUAGGGCCUGUCUAUCGGAAAUCCCAAAUCUGAAAGAAGCCAGCUGUCCUAUAAACCUUUUGGGGUGCCAGAGAGGAACUACUUCAUUCCCAGAUGACAUAAUAGUUGCAGAGUUUUUAGGACAGCCUGCAAACCGUUAAUGCUCCCUGGGUGUCAGACUUGGGGUUCACCAUCUUGACUUAAACAUGCUAAUUAAAUUUCAGCAAAGAACAAGGGCCUCAGCUGUGUCCUGGAGAGGCAUUUUCUCAUUUGAAAUGUGUUGCUUAAAUUAUUCUAGACUUUUUUACCUGUGCGUUAAAAUGAAGGCCCCCAUAGAUUGCCAAAAAGAUCCGCACAUAAUCAUCUUCUCUGUGCAGAAGGGGGCAUGAAAGAGUUGAAUUAAUUUAGCGAUUUGAAAUGGACCUCCUGUGCCCAUCUUCUGGACUUUUGCCCUCCCCUCGGGGUAUAGUUGAAGCCGCGGGUGUGGCCCUUGGCCUCAGAAGUGCUGUGCAACCGGUCUUGCACAUCAUUUCCUGUCCUUACUGAAAAACAUCCUUUCUGAUUAGGAUUGCGCAUUUCUCCUCUUGCGUAGCUUGGUCAUCACAAGAUCUCUUCUAGCAUCCUUUCUUUGGGCAGCAUCACAGUUAACUUGCUUAUUUAUUUUUUUACAGCAGUCACUGAAUUCAUGAAGAACCCACACCUUCAUCCGUUUUCCAUUCAAUAGUGUGUUGUUUUCAGUUUGUUCCCAGCUCCAGAACCUAGUUUGUUUGUGUUACACAUUUUCAGUUCCCUGAAUUCACAUUCAUUCCAAGACUUUGUGUGUUACCUCGGAAAAAAACAAGCCAGCUUCUUCUCAGUAGCCAUCAAAGCUACUUCCACCAUUCUUUUUAUGUUUGUGGCAUUCUUCCCUUCCUUGCGGUCUCCAAUUUUAUUUUCUUUCAGCCUCUUUAGAUUUCUCUGCAGCCUAAUUUUCUAGCAAAAACCUGUGGCUACUUCUGAUUUUUCUUCUUUUGUAUUGCGAUUCAUUUCAGGAUAAGUUGAAAACCUUCUAUUUGUAUUUAUUUAUUUAUUUUUUAUGCCACCUUUAUUAUUUUUAUAAAUAACUCAAGGCAGUGAACAUACCUAAUUCCUCCUCCUCUUUUCCCCACAACAACCAUCCUGUGAGGUGGGCUGGGCUGAGAGAGAAGGACUGGCCCAAGGUCACCCAGCCGGCUUUCAUGCCUAAGGCGGGACUAGAACUCUCCUACUGCGCCUGAUUGGCUCUUGGGCUGAGAGAGAGGGACUGGCCCACGGUCACCCAGCCGGCUUUCAUGCCUAAGGCGGGACUAGAACUCUCCUACUGCGCCUGAUUGGCUCUUGGGCUGAGAGAGGGGGGCUGGCCCAAGGUCACCCAGCCGGCUUUCAUGCCUAAGGCAGGACUAGAACUCUCCUACCGCGCCUGAUUGGCUCUUGGCUGAGAGAGGGGCUGGCCCAAGGGCACCCAGCCAGCUUUCAUGCCUAAGGUGGGACUAGAACUCUGUCGCCUGGUUUCUAGCCUGGUACCUUAACCACAUCUUAAAGUUGUCAAGGCUGAGAAACACUGCCCUACAAAGAGCAGAUUGACUUGUGGGCUUCAUUCCUGUCUGCAGUAGAUCUUCCAAAUCCAGCCCAAUUGGAUCUGAAGGUUUUCUGCCAAGACUGACCUUGUGCCAAACAAGGGGGAAACAUCUGGCUCCCAAGACUUACCACCAGCUCCAGAUGUGAAGCCUGACCACACUGAAUAUGCUGAGUGUUCCUGUUGGCUUGCCUUCUUCCAACUGGUUCCCUCCAGAUGGGUCAGACUCCCAUAAUCCCCAGCCAGGGCAGGCAGGUGAUCUUUUGCAACCUUUUAGGGGUUGGCACCAGAUGAUGCUGAUGAGCAGGACACCUUGUGGGUCUGGGUUUCAGAGGCUUGAAUUGCAUCCUAUGUGGCCCCCCGUUGCCUCUCCACCCCCCCUCCCCAAACUGGGAAACCGCCAGACUUUCUUUUCAGGACUGGCCACCCUAAAGGGCACAUCUACUGCUUCCAGGCUGUUGAUAAUUUGUUUUGCGAUACUGUCUCUUGAGAUGGGAUGCUCACCAGCUAUGCAGUGAUCUCUGUAAAAUAAUAAAGACGUUUUGAU